AGAGUUUGAUCCUGGCUCAGAUUGAACGCUGGCGGCAUGCCUUACACAUGCAAGUCGAACGGCAGCACGGGUGCUUGCACCUGGUGGCGAGUGGCGAACGGGUGAGUAAUAUAUCGGAACGUACCUUAUCGUGGGGGAUAACGCAGCGAAAGCUGCGCUAAUACCGCAUACGCCCUGAGGGGGAAAGCGGGGGACCGUAAGGCCUCGCGCGAUUAGAGCGGCCGAUAUCUGAUUAGCUUGUUGGUGGGGUAAAAGCCCACCAAGGCGACGAUCAGUAGCUGGUCUGAGAGGACGAUCAGCCACACUGGGACUGAGACACGGCCCAGACUCCUACGGGAGGCAGCAGUGGGGAAUUUUGGACAAUGGGGGCAACCCUGAUCCAGCAAUGCCGCGUGAGUGAAGAAGGCCUUCGGGUUGUAAAGCUCUUUUGUCAGGGAAGAAACAGCAGCUCUAACACAGUCUGCGAAUGACGGUACCUGAAGAAUAAGCACCGGCUAACUACGUGCCAGCAGCCGCGGUAAUACGUAUGGUGCAAGCGUUAAUCGGAAUUACUGGGCGUANAGCGUGCGCAGGCGGUUAUAC
rnacentral:rRNA from 1 species